rnacentral:rRNA from 1 species
GAUGAACGCUGGCGGCAUGCCUAACACAUGCAAGUCGGACGGGAAGUGGUGUUUCCUGUGGCGGACGGGUGAGUAACGCGUAAGAACCUGCCCUUGGGAGGGGCACAACAACUGGAAACGGCAGCUACUACCCCGUAGACUGAGGAGCAAAAGGAGGAAUCUGCCCGAGGAGGGGCUCGCGUCUGAUUAGCUAGUUGGUGAGGCAAUAGCCUACCAAGGCGAUGAUCAGUAGUGGGUCCGAGAGGAUGAUCAGCCACACUGGGACUGAGACACGGACCAGACUCCUACGGGAGGCAGCCGUGGGGAAUUUUCCGCAAUGGGCGAAAGCCUGACGGAGCAAUGCCGCGGGGAGGUAGAAGGCCCACGGGUCGUGAACUUCUUUUCCCGGAGAAGAAGCAAUGACGGUAUCUGAGGAAUAAGCAUCGGCUAACUCUGUG